ACGGGAGGCAGCAGUGGGGAAUAUUGCGCAAUGGGGGGAACCCUGACGCAGCAACGCCGCGUGAAGGAAGAAGGCCUUCGGGUUGUAAACUUUUGUCGCAAGGGAAGAAGACAGUGACGGUACCUUGUGAGAAAGCCACGGCUAACUACGUGCCAGCAGCCGCGGUAAUACGUAGGUGGCGAGCGUUGUCCGGAUUUACUGGGUGUAAAGGGCGCGUAGGCGGGCUGUCAAGUCAGAUGUGAAAUGCCGGGGCUUAACUCCGGAGCUGCAUUUGAAACUGACAGUCUUGAGUAUCGGAGAGGAAAGCGGAAUUCCUAGUGUAGCGGUGAAAUGCGUAGAUAUUAGGAGGAACACCAGUGGCGAAGGCGGCUUUCUGGACGACAACUGACGCUGAGGCGCGAAAGUGUGGGGAGCAAACAGGAUUAGAUACCCUGGUA
rnacentral:rRNA from 1 species